rnacentral:rRNA from 1 species
AUUGAACGCUGGCGGCAGGCCUAACACAUGCAAGUAGAACGAGUGGCGGACGGGUGAGUAAUGUCUGGGAAACUGCCCGCUGGAGGGGGAUAACUACUGGAAACGGUAGUUAAUACCGCAUACCAUUGACUGUGCCCCGAUGGGAUUAGCUAGUAGGUGGGGUAACGGCUCACCUAGGCGACCAUCCCUAGCUGGUCUGAGAGGAUGACCAGCCACACGGGAACUGAGACACGGUCCAGACUCCUACGGGAGGCAGCAGUGGGGAAUAUUGCACAAUGGGCGCAAGCCUGAUGCAGCCAUGCCGCGUGUAUGAAGAAGGCCUUCGGGUUGUAAAGUACUUUCAGCGAGGAGGCGUUACUCGCAGAAGAAGCACCGGCUAACUCCGUGCCAGCAGCCGCGGUAAUAC